GCCCGGGUGGUGAAAUUGGUAUACACAAGGGAUUUAAAAUCCCUCGCCUCUAUAGGCUUGCGGGUUCAAGUCCCGCCCCGGGCACCA
rnacentral:tRNA from 1 species